rnacentral:rRNA from 1 species
AUUGAACGCUGGCGGCAGGCCUAACACAUGCAAGUCGAAUGAGUGGCGCACGGGUGAGUAAUGUCUGGGAAACUGCCUGAUGGAGGGGGAUAACUACUGGAAACGGUCGCUAAUACAGCAUUCCAUCGGAUGUGCCCCGAUGGGAUUAGCUAGUAGGUGGGGUAACGGGUCACCUAGGCGAUGAUCCCUAGCUGGUCUGAGAGGAUGACCAGCAACACUGGAACUGAGACACGGUCCAGACUCGUACGGGAGGCAGAAGUGGGGAAUAUUGCACAAAGGGGGCAAGCCUAGGGCAGCCAUGUCGCGUGUAUGAAGGAGGCCUUCGGGUUGUAAAGUACUUUCAGCGGGGAGGCAUUGCCGGCAGAGGAAGCACCAGCAGACUCCGUGCCAGCAGCCGCGGUAAUAC